GCCGUACCUGGCCGCCGCGCGGUGCCUUCGGCGCGCGUCUAGAUACGCGCGUCUCGACGACCGGCGUCUCAGUGUCGUCGCGACGACCGACGUCGUACCCGUCGUUCCGGCGUCGACGUGCUCCUUCUUGCACGGUUGAUUCGCGAUCAAGCGUAAUUCACCGACCAUUCUUCGUUCCGACGCGUCUUCGUUCUCUCGCCAUCGCCAUUUUCGGCCAUUUUCUGCCUCGUUGAAAUAAUUAUUGUUAAGAAUAAGCAAAAAAACGCGUGGAUAAAUUAUCUAGUCGUAUACGUGGUAUAAAAUCGUUGUAUAAAAUCGAUCGUUGGAUCGAAAGGUUCGAUAUCGAUAGUGGAUCGAGAAGGGUAUAGUGGAUUGGCAGACGACCAGAGUGGAUCAGUGUCGUUCGAGCGAUCGACUCGGUGAAACGAUCGACCAUCACGGUGGGAGGAGAAACGCGUCUCGGUGAUCGGAUGCAGACUGAUUGGCUCCUUGGAGGAGGAUCAGCUGAUCGUGUGCUAGCUGGAAUAUAACGUGUCGAUCGUUUUAGUUGUUACAAGGUGGGAUCGUUCGUUCUCGAGGUGGUUGGCAUCGUUUAUUUUAUCAAGAUUUUUUCCCCCAAAACCCGUCCGAGGAUCGAAGAUUUCGCCGGGUAGAGAGAGUCUCGCCGGCGUCUCUCCCUCGAGGAAGCCAAUAAAUCCUCGAGAGAACGCAGACAACGAGGAGAGAAGAGAGAAACCCUUUACCUCUCUGCUUGCUCGAGCAUGCUAACGAGACGCAACCAGGAAGAGACUUAACCUCUC